UUAAAGGAAAAGUGCCACCUUCUUGAAAUAUGAAAAUAUCGUUGGUUUUUAUUUUGACAUUACUAUUUUCCAUUUUCUUUUCAAAACCGGUGCCAGAAGUGCAUAAUUCGCUAAAAAGUAUUUCAAACUAUUUAACAUAUUGGUACUAUGUUUAUACUCUCUACCGCAGCUACUGUAUGAUGUCAUAGCAAUGACGUCACACUCAAGCCAAUCAGCCUUGAGGAGGAUAGACUCGUCGGACUGUAGCGGUUGUAAACAACUUGUCGCCCCGUGUGUCUGCCCGUGGCGCUAGUUAUCUGUCGGAGUUACCACUGACAAUGCCCAAAACAAGAACAACAAAGGCCCAAAGGUGGCUGUUUGGUAGUGCGCAAAGCUGCUGGUGGUGGUGGACGUCUCUGCCCUGACGCGCGGCGUGCGUCUGCUCAGUGUGGAGGUGCCGCUGACAGCGGUGCCGGCCGGACCGGCUGCCUCUCCGGCGGCCGACAUUGAGCGCGGCACGUGUCCGCCGCCGUUCGGGCCGCUGCAGCUGCUGCAGUCGGCGGCGCAGCUGUCCGUCUCCGUGUCGCUGGCCGUGCCGCUGGACCUGCUGCCGCGGCCGGCGCCGGCGCGCUGCGCCUACGGCCGCCUGCUGGCCGUGAGCCGUCGUCUCGCAGCGCGGCCUGCAGCGCAGCGGCGUGCCGCAGCUCAUCCAGCAGCUCAACGAGCCGCCCAGCCCGGCGGCGGCCGAGGGCGCCGCGCCGCGCCGGCCCGGCGACGUCAGCACACCUGGCAUCAGCGGCUUCUGCCUGGCCGACCGUCAGCUGCACCUGCUGUUCGCCGAGGGGCGCGCCGACGCCGAGCUGGAACAGACGGCGGCCGCGCCGCGCGCUCUGCCGCGCCGCGACGCUCGACUCUGCCACCACUCGGGCUUGCUGUUUAGGGAGCGCCUGUACCCGCGCCAGCCGGCCGUGUUCCGCGUGCUCGAGGACCGCCCGCUACGCGCCCAGCUGCUCGACACCCGCCUCUACACGUUACAGAAACAGGAGCCGGCGCGCGCCGUCCGCGCCAUCAGAGAGUGCUUCCGCACGCAGUGGCUGUCGGAAAAUGAACCUGCUUCCCAACGAGGCCGGCCUGCAACAACUGCUGGCCGGCUGUUGGCCGAAAAAAAAACGCUUUCAACCGGAUGUCAGUUGUCAAAUCAACGCGUAGUAAUGCAUUCACUAGGAUGGGCUUACGUAAAGCUGUAGAAUUGCAAAUAUAUAAUGGCACUGUUUUUUAUCCGUUCGGUAUGCAUUGGUAUCAUAUGAUCUCUCAUUCACAGACGAUCAGCUGCGAAGACCCAGAUCCGUAGUAGAGGGCUCAUCGAGUCUGGGUCCAGCUCCCCGUACUUCCUCCACUUUGGAAACACCGCAGCGCAGACCACAGUUAUACAUAAUAUUUAGUUUUCAUUCACUUCAUAACCGAAGGUUGUUUGAUAGGUGAUAUGCUGCUUGAGUUGCACCCCGGUAUAUCAAUACGAAGCUUCCGUCCCUGCCACAUACCAGUGAAGGAGGCGGCGGC